rnacentral:rRNA from 1 species
UGGGGAAUCUUGCGCAAUGGGCGAAAGCCUGACGCAGCGACGCCGCGUGCGGGAAGAAGGCCUUCGGGUUGUAAACCGCUUUCAGGAGGGACGAAGCCACUCGGGUGAACAGCCCAGAGGGUGACGGUACCUCCAGAAGAAGCCCCGGCUAACUACGUGCCAGCAGCCGCGGUAAUACGUAGGGGGCGAGCGUUGUCCGGAUUUAUUGGGCGUAAAGCGCGUGUAGGCGGCCGGAUAGGUCUGCUGUGAAAACUCGAGGCUCAACCUCGAGCUGUCGGCGGAAACCAUUCGGCUAGAGUCCGGAAGAGGAGAGUGGAAUUCCCGGUGUAGCGGUGAAAUGCGCAGAUAUCGGGAAGAACACCUGUGGCGAAGGCGGCUCUCUGGGACGGUACUGACGCUGAGACGCGAAAGCGUGGGGAGCAAACAGGAUUAGAUACCCUGGUAGUCCACGCCGUAAACGAUGGGUGCUAGGUGUGGGGAGUGUCGACUCUCUCCGUGCCGAAGCUAACG